AUUGAACGCUGGCGGCAUGCUUUACACAUGCAAGUCGAAUGGUAACAGGCCUUCGGGUGCUGACGAGUGGCGAACGGGUGAGUAAUGCAUCGGAACGUACCCAGAGGUGGGGGAUAACGCAGCGAAAGCUGUGCUAAUACCGCAUGUGAUCUGAGGAUGAAAGCGGGGGACCGAGCAGCAAUGUUUGGCCUCGCGCCUUUGGAGCGGCCGAUGUCGGAUUAGCUAGUUGGUGGGGUAAAGGCCUACCAAGGCGACGAUCCGUAGCUGGUCUGAGAGGACGACCAGCCACACUAGGACUGAGACACGGCCCAGACUCCUACGGGAGGCAGCAGUGGGGAAUUUUGGACAAUGGGCGCAAGCCUGAUCCAGCAAUGCCGCGUGCGGGAAGAAGGCCUUCGGGUUGUAAACCGCUUUUGGCAGGAACGAAACGGUGUCCGCUAAUACCGGGCGCUAAUGACGGUACCUGCAGAAUAAGCACCGGCUAACUACGUG
rnacentral:rRNA from 1 species